AGAACUGUGCAACCAUGCUCUGGACCCCUGUCCUCCUCACCUUUCUCAUUCAUGGCACAGGAUCCUGGUCUCAGUCUGUGCUGACUCAACCAGCCUCAGUAUCUGGGACCCUGGGCCAGAGAGUCACCAUCUCCUGUGCUGGAAGCAGCAAUGACAUUGGUGGUGGCAACAGUGUGAGAUGGUACCAACAAUUCCCAGGAACUGCUCCUAGAAGCAUUAUAUAUUAUAAUGAUAAAAGACCCUCAGGGGUCCCUGACAGAUUCUCUGGCUCUAAGUCUGGCAGCUCUGGCAUCCUGACCAUCUCUGGGCUCCAGACUGAGGAUGAGGCUGAUUAUUACUGUCAGUCUUGCGAUGAUAGUCUCAAGGCUACCCAGUGCUCCAGGCUCAUGAGGAAGUAA